GAUGAACGCUGGCGGCGUGCCUAAUACAUGCAAGUCGAGCGAUCGGACGAGAAGCUUGCUUCUCUGAUGUUAGCGGCGGACGGGUGAGUAACACGUGGAUCACCUACCUAUAAGACUGGGAUAACUUCGGGAAACCGGAGCUAAUACCGGAUGAUAUUUUGAACCGCAUGGUUCAAAAGUUAAAGACGGUCUUGCUGUCACUUAUAGAUUGAUCCGCGCUGCAUUAGCUAGUUGGUAAGGUAACGGCUUACCAAGGCAACGAUGCAUAGCCGACCUGAGAGGGUGAUCGGCCACACUGGAACUGAGACACGGUCCAGACUCCUACGGGAGGCAGCAGUAGGGAAUCUUCCGCAAUGGGCGAAAGCCUGACGGAGCAACGCCGCGUGAGUGAUGAAGGUCUUCGGAUCGUAAAACUCUGUUAUUAGGGAAGAACAUAUGUGUAAGUAACUGUGCACAUCUUGACGGUACCUAAUCAGAAAGCCACGGCUAACUACGUG
rnacentral:rRNA from 1 species